rnacentral:misc_RNA from 1 species
UCUUGUUAUUUUCUCCUAUCUUUUCUUUUAUUUUAAAUUUCAACAUUAUUCAAUAAUGACAAGGAUACAAAACCGUAUACAAUUUGUUCCUAUAAUUUUGUUAUCUAAUUUAAGAAUAAAUUAUGCUAGCUAAUCAAGAAUAAGUGCCAAUAACUAUGCUAACUGUUAUGAAUGAGUUUUCUAUGUAUUUCACAAGAAAAAAUUGGUACAAAUAUAUAUACAAGUGAUUAGAGAUUCCUAUUCUAAUUAAACAAUAGGAGACCAAAUCCCUAAAAUUAUGCCUAUACUUAUCUAUACAGGAAAUACAUAAUAAUUAGGAAUUUGUAGUUGACUUUUCUUAACACUCCCUUCAUGUUGGAACAUAGAUGUUUAAUCAUGCACAACUUGUUGCUGAUACAGUUAACCCGAGAUACAUUCAAACCUUUUGUAAAGAUGUCUCACAAUUGAUCUCCAUUUUUAACAUGACCUGAGGCUGUGGAGGUAAACUUUUCCUGAAUCUUGUCUUGAACAAAGAGGCAAUCAUCUGAAUAUGCUUAGUUUGUUCAUGAAACACAGGGUUAAUAGCAAUCUAAGGAGUAGCUUGAUUAUUGCACCAUAUCUUAGCCAGUAAUCAAGACUUAAGACUAACCUCAUUCAAUAAUUUGAUAAACCCACAAUAUAUCAAACAAACUAUGCCAUGGCUCUAUACUCUGAUUUUGCACUAGAUUGGGGAACCACUUUUUGCUUCUUAUUCUUCCAAGACACUAGAUUUCCUCCAACAAAGACACAAUAUCCAAUAGUAGAUCUUCUAUUGACUUUGGAUCCUGUCUAAUUUGCAUUUGAAAAAACAUUCAGUAUUAGAUUGUCCAUGGUUUGAAUACAACAAACCCCUUCGAUGCUAACCUCCAGAAUGAUGCCUUGAAACCCAUGAACAGGAUUGGUUUAUAAUC